AUUGAACGCUGGCGGAAUGCUUUACACAUGCAAGUCGAGCGGCAGCGCGGGGGCAACCCUGGCGGCGAGCGGCGAACGGGUGAGUAACAUAUCGGAACGUACCCCGUCGUGGGGGAUAACACAGCGAAAGCUGUGCUAAUACCGCAUACGACCUGAGGGUGAAAGCGGGGGAUCGCAAGACCUCGCGCGAUGGGAGCGGCCGAUAUCGGAUUAGCUUGUUGGUGAGGUAAAGGCUCACCAAGGCGACGAUCCGUAGCUGGUCUGAGAGGACGACCAGCCACACUGGAACUGAGACACGGUCCAGACUCCUACGGGAGGCAGCAGUGGGGAAUUUUGGACAAUGGACGGAAGCCUGAUCCAGCCAUGCCGCGUGAGUGAAGAAGGCCUCGGUUGUAAAGCUCUUCGGUCCGGGAGAAAUCGCACGGGUGAAUACCCUGUGUGGAUGACGGUACCGGAACAAGAAGCACCGGCUAACUACGUGCCAGCAGCCGCGGUAAU
rnacentral:rRNA from 1 species